rnacentral:lncRNA from 1 species
UUUGUGUUGUUUUGUUUUUUUUUUGUUUUUUUUUUUUGCAGGAAUGACUUUGUCGAGCUUCUUCUAGGGACGAUCGGGCUUCUGCCGUCAGAUCUAUCGCCCUAGUAGGAGAGAUCGACUCUGUCAUCGUCGGGCUUCGAUCUUCGUUUGCAGAAAUGACUUUGUUGAGCUUCUUCUAGGGACGAUCGGGCUUUUGCCAUCAGAUCUAUCGCCCUAGUAGGAGAGAUCGACUCUGUCAUCGUCGGGCUUCCAUCUUCGUUUGCAGAAAUGACUUUGUUGAGCUUCUUUUAGGGACGAUCGGGCUUUUGCCGUUAGAUAUAUCGCCCUAGUAGGAGAGAUCGACUCUGUCAUCGUCGGGCUUCGAUCUUCGUUUGCAGAAAUGACUUUGUUGAGCUUCUUCUAGGGACGAUCGGGCUUUUGCCGUCAGAUCUAUCGCUCUAGUAGGAGAGAUCGACUCUAUCAUCGUCGGGCUUCAAUCUUCGUUUGCAGAAAUGACUUUGUUGAGCUUCUUCUAGGGACGAUCGGGCUUUUGCCGUCAAAUCUAUCGCCCUAGUAGGAGAAGAUCGACUCUGUCAUCGUCGGGCUUCGAUCUUCGUUUGCAGAAAUGACUUUGUUGAGCUUCUUCUAGGGACGAUCGGGCUUUUGCCGUCAGAUCUAUCGCCUAGUAGGAGAGAUCGACUCUGUCAUCGUCGGGCUUCAAUCUUCGUUUGCAGAAAUGACUUUGUUGAGCUUCUUCUAGGGACGAUCGAGCUUUUGCCGUCAGAUCUAUCGCCCUAGUAGGAGAGAUCGACUCUGUCAUCGUCGGGCUUCAAUCUUCGUUUGCAGAAAUGACUUUGUUGAGCUUCUUCUAGGGAUGAUCGGGCUUUUGCCGUCAGAUCUAUCGCCCUAGUAGGAGAGAUCGACUCUGUCAUCGUCGGGCUUCAAUCUUCGUUUGCUUUUUCUUCUUCUUGUUCUUCUUUCUUUUUGUUUUUCUUCUUUUGCUUCUUUCUUUUUUGUUUUCUUCUUCUUCUUCUUUCUUUUUGUUUUCUUCUUUUGCUUCUUUCUUUUUUUGUUUUCUUCUUUCUUCUUCUUGCUUCUCCUUUUUUUUUUUCUUUCUUGGUUGUGGUACAAGGGAGAAGAUGAAAAUGAAUCAUCUAGCUUGCGACACCUUAGAGCUGAUGAAAAUGAAUUCCAUCGGCCGGGUUGCGACACCUGUUAGAUGAUAAAGAUGAAUACUCUCAGCUACGACAUAUAGGAGAAGAUGAAGAUGAAUCCUCUCAGCUAUGACAUAUGGGAGGAGAUGAAGAUGAAUCUCUUCAGUUGCAGCACUUGGAAGAAGAUGAAGAUGAAUCCUCUCGGCUAUGACAUAUGGAAGGAGAUGAAUCCUCUCGACUAUGACAUAUGGAGGAGAUGAAGAUGAAUCCUAUUCAAUUGCAGCACUGGGAGAAGAUGAAGAUAAAUCCUCUCGGGCUAUGACAUAUGGGAGAAGAUGAAGAUGAAUCCUCUCGGCUAUGACAUAUGAGAGAAGAUGAAUCAUUUUCGAUUGCAGCACCUGGGAGAAAGAUGAAGAUGAAUCUUCUCAGCUAUGACGUAUAGAGAAGAUGAAGAUGAAUCCUCUUUGA